GACGAACGCUGGCGGCGUGCUUAACACAUGCAAGUCGAACGGAAAGGCCCUGCUUUUGUGGGGUGCUCGAGUGGCGAACGGGUGAGUAACACGUGAGUAACCUGCCCUUGACUUUGGGAUAACUUCAGGAAACUGGGGCUAAUACCGGAUAGGAGCUCCUGCUGCAUGGUGGGGGUUGGAAAGUUUCGGCGGUUGGGGAUGGACUCGCGGCUUAUCAGCUUGUUGGUGGGGUAGUGGCUUACCAAGGCUUUGACGGGUAGCCGGCCUGAGAGGGUGACCGGCCACAUUGGGACCGAGAUACGGCCCAGACUCCUACGGGAGGCCGCAGUGGGGAAUAUUGCACCAUGGGCGGAAGCCUGAUGCAGCAACGCCGCGUGCGGGAUUACGGCCUUCGGGUUGUAAACCGCUUUCGCCUGUGACGAAGCGUGAGUGACGGUAAUGGGUAAAGAAGCACCGGCUAACUACGUG
rnacentral:rRNA from 1 species